CUCGCGUCAUUUCGAGGGUUCGAAAACGACGGGUGAGCGACGGUGGGUUCCGGUGUCGAAUUUGACAUUUUCGGGAAUCCGGAUCGGAACGAUUAUCUGACGAUAAUCGUUUCGAUGUAAGGCGGUGUGUUUGCUGCCAAGUCACACUAAUAAUUAUGUUUAGUGGCAGCGAGUGACUGGUAGCACGAGUUAGGGAGUUCCGGGAUAGUUCGUGGGUCCCGGCGAAGUUUCGGUGCGAUUUUUGGGACUUCCGGCGUGUUACGGCAAUCGGUUUUGGAAAACCG
rnacentral:lncRNA from 1 species